rnacentral:rRNA from 1 species
CCUACGGGUGGCUGCAGUGAGGAAUAUUGGUCAAUGGGCGCAAGCCUGAACCAGCGACGCCGCGUGAGUGAUGAAGGCCUUCGGGUUGUAAAGCUCUGUGGGAAGAGACGAAAAAGCGUAGUCGAAUAGGCUGCGAAAUUGACGGUAUCUUCUUAGCAAGCACCGGCUAACUCUGUGCCAGCAGCCGCGGUAAGACAGAGGGUGCAAACGUUGCUCGGAAUCACUGGGCGUAAAGCGCGUGUAGGCGGGUUUGCAAGUCGGGUGUGAAAUCCCUG